UAAGCCAGUUAAUGGAUUCUGGUCUAAGCAGUGAGGUUUGGUAUGAGUCAAAUGCUUGUACCUCUAAGAUUGAGCUGUGAUGGGGAAGCACUUUCGAGUGCGAAGUACCUGAUGUCACACUGCCAAGAAAAUCUUCUAGCGUUUAAUUAUAACCUACCCGUACCGCAAACCGACACAGGUAGUCGAGGCGAGUAGCCUCAGGUGAGCGAGAGAACUCUCGUUAAGGAACUCGGCAAAAUGACCCCGUAACUUCGGGAGAAGGGGUGCUCUACAUUUGUAGAGCCGCAGUGAAUAGGCCCAAGCGACUGUUUAUCAAAAACACAGCUCUCUGCUAAAUCGUAAGAUGAUGUAUAGGGGGUGACGCCUGCCCGGUGCUGGAAGGUUAAGAGGAGUGCUUAGCGUAAGCGAAGGUAUGAAUUGAAGCCCCAGUAAACGGCGGCCGUAACGAUAACGGUCCUAAGGUAGCGAAAUUCCUUGUCGGGUAAGUUCCGACCCGCACGAAAGGCGUAACGAUUUGGGCACUGUCUCAACGAGAGACUCGGUGAAAUUUUAGUACCUGUGAAGAUGCAGGUUACCCGCGACAGGACGGAAAGACCCCAUGGAGCUUUACUGCAAGUUGAUAUUGAGUAUCUGUUGCACAUGUACAGGAUAGGUAGGAGCCAUUGAUCUGAGGACGCUAGUUUUCAGUGAGGCGAUGUUGGGAUACUACCCUUGUGUAAUGGCUACUCUAACCCGCAUGCCUAAUCGGCAUGGGAGACAGUGUCUGCUGGGCAGUUUGACUGGGGCGGUCGCCUCCUAAAGAGUAACGGAGGCGCUCAAAGUUUCCCUCAGCAUGGUUGGAAAUCAUGCGUAGAGUGUAAAGGUAUGAGGGAGAUUGACUGCGAGACUUACAAGUCGAGCAGGUACGAAAGUAGGACUUAGUGAUCCGGUGGUACCGCAUGGAAGGGCCAUCGCUCAACGGAUAAAAGCUACCCUGGGGAUAACAGGCUUAUCUCCCCCAAGAGUUCACAUCGACGGGGAGGUUUGGCACCUCGAUGUCGGCUCGUCGCAUCCCGGGGCUGUAGUCGGUCCCAAGGGUUGGGCUGUUCGCCCAUUAAAGCGGCACGCGAGCUGGGUUCAGAACGUCGUGAGACAGCUCGGUCCCUAUCCGUCGCGGGCGUAGGAAAUUUGAGAGGAUCUGCCCUUAGUACGAGAGGACCGGGGUGGACUUACCGCUGGUGUACCAGUUGUCUUGCCAAAGGCAUCGCUGGGUAGCUAUGUAGGGAACGGAUAAACGCUGAAAGCAUCUAAGUGUGAGACCAACCUCAAGAUGAGAUUUCCCAUUCUUUAUGAAUUAAGAGCCCUGAGAGAUGAUCAGGUAGAUAGGCUAGAAGUGGAAGGACAGUGAUGUUUGGAGCGGACUAGUACUAAUAGCUCGAGGACUUUACC
rnacentral:rRNA from 1 species